rnacentral:rRNA from 1 species
AUACGUAGGGGGCGAGCGUUGUCCGGAAUGAUUGGGCGUAAAGGGCGCGUAGGCGGCUUUGCAAGUCAGUAGUGGAAGUCCAUUUUUCAAGGAUGGAAGUGCUACAGAAACUGCGGAGCUUGAGUGCAGGAGAGGUUAUCGGAAUUCCCGGUGUAGCGGUGAAAUGCGUAGAGAUCGGGAGGAACACCAGUGGCGAAGGCGGGUAACUGGACUGCAACUGACGCUGAGGCGCGAAAGCGUGGGGAGCAAACAGGAUUAGAUACCCUGGUAGUCCACACUGUAAACGAUGAAUGCUAGGUGUAGGAGGUAUCGACCCCUUCUGUGCCGCAGUAAACACAGUAAGCAUUCCGCCUGGGGAGUACGGUCGCAAGAUUAAAACUCAAAUGAAUUGACGGGG